rnacentral:lncRNA from 1 species
GGGGGGGGGGGGGGGGGGGGGGGGGGGGGGGGGGGGGGGGGGGGGGGGGGGGGGGGGGGGGGGGGGGGGGGGGGGGGGGGGGGGGGCGCAGCCGCCAUUGGCUGAGGGCCCAGCCCCGCCCAGCGCACUGGCCAAUGACAUCGCUCAGCGACACGUGGCUCCAAGGGAUUGGCUGGGCUCCCCUUGUGUGAGCUCGAAUUCAGCCAAUCACUUCCACACCGGGGACUCGGUGACUCCCAUUCUCAGAUGAGCUGGGCUGCUCCGGCUUCACCUGCUCUACCUGCGGCUGUCCUUGGGCAUCCCUAGCCAUGGCUAUCUCCAGGCUGAUCAUUCACAAAUCUCCAUACUCUGCUCUCCCCCUGCAGCUGUGCUCCAGAUCCCUCUGCUCCCAGCACUGCUUUGAUGGUCCAACGGUUCUCCCCAGCUGUCCCGUCUUCAGCGGCCGUGGGAGGGGUUUCAGGACCGGAGGCUAUGGGAGCUCCCUAGCUGCUUGGUUUCGGCUUUCAGGCUCCACCAGCGGGAGAAGGAGCAGGCAGUCGCAGCUGCACUAGUUUCAACAGGUACGGCAUUUCCAUUUUGCCAACCACAUUGCUAACAGCCACCAAAGUGCCAGCCCAUGCUGAAGAAUUCAUUUUCUGCCUCAGUUUCCUGACAAGCCAUGCUGAGAAAACCUCACGUCUUUUCCUACAAGUUUCAAGAUGCUUCAAAAAUUCUUUUUUACACUAAGGACUCAAAAAAAAAAAUAGCUUGCAUUUAAAAAAUUGUUUUAUUUUGUGCUUUUUAGUAACCUCAACAAUUUAAUUUUAAAAAAGCCUUCUUAAUUAAUAAAGAAAAGGGGAGUUGUGAAGGACCCCCAAAGGAAUUCCUAACUAAGGAAUGCAACCCCUGUUUUGUUCCCUAAGGCAACCCCGUGUUCUCUCCCAGCCUUUGGUCACUCCCACCCUAAUUCCCUGUUGGCCAUUUGUUUUGGCCCUGCCCUUAAGUUACCUCCGUGUUUUCUAAUAAUUGGUUCCUAAGGAUUUCCCCGCCUGCUCAUCCCAUGUACUAAACCUGUACCCUGAUAAGCCUUGGUGCCUUUGUUCUCCCGAACCCUGGACAAUGCGCGCGUGGCUGAAAUAAACAUCUUUGUAACACCCUGCAAAGGCCUCCUGCUGAUUUCCCCCCAAGGGACACCUAAAUUGCAACACCCAAACCUGUAAACCUAACCCUAACCCUAACCCUAACCCAAAACCCUAACCCUAACCCUAGCCAUAACCCUAACCCCAACACUAGCCCUAGCCCUAACCAUAACCCUAACCCCAACACUAGCCCUAGCCCUAACCAUAACCCUAACCCCAA